AUCAGCUGAUGAUGGCCGCAGGAAGGUGGGCCUGGAAGAUAACAGCUAGCAGGCUAAGGCCAGACACUGACACUUGCAGUUGUCUUUGGUAGUUUUUUUGCACUAACUUCAGGAGGCAGCUCAUGAUCUCAGGAUGUAUGGAAAAAUAAUCUUUGUAUUACUAUUGUCAGGAGACGGAGCCAACCCUGAAAAUUCUGGGAAAAGAGGACGGAAGGCAGAGUGAACAGCAAGAGCAAAAAUUCUGAAACAGGAGGUAAGUUAGUGUUUUCAAGGAAAAGCUGGAGCUUUUAUCUGAAAAUCAGAUUCUGAAGCUAAGAACCAAUUUGAAAAUACAGUACUAUACCACUUCAACUAGGAAAUUAUGGCAUAAACCAGGAGUCUCCAAAAGCUUUUUGUGUUUACUUAAAAAUUCAUACAAAAUUUGCAUUCUAGGUCAUAAUAUACUAAUUUAAUUGGAGGAAACAAAGGCACUGGUAUGAUAUCAUCAUGCCUACUUUAUUCAUCCGUGUAUCCCCAGAAUCUAGCACAGUUCCCGAUUAGUAUUUAUAGUAGCAUAUUGGUUGAAUAAGCAAGGAAGGAGGUGAAGGGAGGGAGAAGGAGAGAUAAGCAGAGAGGGAGAGGAAGGAAGAAAGAAAAGGAAAAAUGAAGGAAGGAAAGAAGAGAGGAGGGAGAGAGAGAGGGAGGCAAGAAGGGAGAAGAGAGAAGGGAAGGGAAGAGACAGGAGGAAGGGGAGGAGGAAAGGAAAGAGGAAAUAUUUGUUUUCAUCUGGUUAGACACAGUGAGUGCUCCGCAUAGACAGAUCAUUAUUACCCUGUGCAUCUGACUCAUACCCCUGCAGGUACAUCAGUCUGAAAAGCACAUGUUAAGUGAAGAAACAAGGCUUCUUUCUUUCUUUCUUUCUUCUUUCUUUCUUUCUUUCUUUCUUUUUUUCAGGGAUCCAAGAAGAGAGCCUUGCUAGCUGUCUAUUUAAUUGGUACAGGAAAGAGUUACAGGAACUGUAUGCCAGGGAAUACAUGACUAUAAAUUCUUGAAAAGCAAAACCUGUGUCUUCGCUUAUGUGUCCCACACAUUGUCAGCCACAUAGUAGGCAGUCAAUAUCAACUACUCAAAAUGACAAAUGACAAAUGACCAGAAUUUUGUAGCAGACUAGUUUAGCCAUGAAAAAUCAUUUAACACCUGUGGGCCUCAGUUUUCUUGUGCCUAUUCAAUAAAGCGCCGAGUAGAUGGUAUCUACAAUCAUUUUUCAUUUGUAAACCCCAAUGAAUCCCCAAAAUUCAGCCUGAGAUGAGCUGGACUAGUUGCCAAAUCUAUAAAUAUCUUUAGCAUAGUGUGAAAUAGGGUUUUUAGAAAGAAACAGACACCCACUGUGAACUCCUUUGCAGAGAAGGUCUGAAUAGAGGGGAAAGUAGGGAUGGUAUCUCAAACUUACUUUGCAGUGAUUUUAAAUUAGGAAAUUUAGCUUAACAUUCUUGUGAUAAAUUUCUUUUCACCUUGGUUUCUAGAAGAUUAUUCAAAACAUCUAUGAGACUAUUUGAGAAGUAUACUUUUGGGGAAUUUCCUCCAAGUUAUCUUUAUAGAUUAUAUUUUGACACCAACUGCAAAUGUAAUAUCUUUUGCCCAAAAGAAAACCCAAUCCUACUUAUAUGGUGCUGACAAAAUCAGGCUGGACCUACAUUUUUACAUCAUAGAUUUCCAGCCAUUAUUAUCAUAUCCACAUCUUUAGUAAGUACCUAUCUGUGUAGUUUUCUGUGAUAAAUGAACUAAACUAAAACUAAAGCAAAAAUCUUGAAAAAAAAUUCCGGGUUUAUCUCUGAGUGUUGGGAUUAUAAGAUUUUAUUUUAUUUUUCUCAUUUUAAAUACUUUCUAAAUUUUCUGCAAAGAGAACCAUAUAAUAUAAUCAGGACAAGUUUCAAUAUAUUUUAAAAAGUAAACCGAACAAACACAAUCUCUGCUUUCUAAGAAGUCUUUAAUUUUUGUACGUUGGUCACUGACUAUGACUAUACAAUUUAUUUGUGAUAUUUAUUAAGAAUUUCUGUCUAACCCAAAUUAUUAUAUGUAAGCACUGGAAAAAUGAUGUCAUCUUUGUUUGUAGUGUACAAAGUUCUAUAAACAGCUAUUUAAUCAACUUUGGUAUUUCCAUGCCUAGAUUUAUAUACAGCAGGUUAGGUUCCGUACAUAGGCAGGUUCUGAAUAAUAAUAACCAACACUGAUAUAGCACCUACUUUGUGCCAUGCACUGUUCUAAGCAAUUUACAUACACUUAAUUUUUAAAAUUGUAGUAAAAUACACAUAAGAUAAAUUUACCAUUUGAACCAUUUUAAAGUGUACAAUCGGUAGCAUUUAAUGCAUUCAAAAUGAUGCACACCCAUCACCAUUAUCUAGUUUCAGAACAUUUUCAUCACUCCAAAAGGCAACCUCUUACCCAUUACCAGCCACUUCCAAUUCCUCCAGCCCUGGGAAACCACUAAUUUGUUUUCUACCUCUACAGAUUUACCCAUUUUAGAUAUUUCAUAUAAAUGGAAUCAUAUAAUAGGUAGCCUUUUGUGUAUGGCUUCUUUCACUUAAAAUAAUGUGUUUAAAGUUCAUCCAUACUGUAGCGUGUAUCAGUAUUUCAUUCCUUUUAUAAUAAAUAUUAUUCCAUUGUGUUGGUAUAUCACAUUUUGUUUAUCCAUCCAUCAUUUGAUUAAAAUUUGAGUUGGUAUAUUACAUUUUGCUUAUCCAUCCAUCAUUUGAUUAAAAUUUGUGUUGUUUCCACCUUUUGGCUGUUGUGAAUAGUGCUGCUAUAAAUAUUCCUGUACUAGUUUUGUUUGAACCCACUUUUAAUACUCAAAGAUGUAUAGGGGUAGAAUUGCUGGGUCAUAGUCAUUUUAUGUUUAACUUACUAAGGAACUGCUAAACUCUUUUCCACAGGAGCUGCACCUUUUGACCUUUUCACCAGGGUGUAUGAGGUGCCAAUUUCUCCACAAUCUUGCCAGAAAUUGUACUUUCUCAUUUUUUUAAUUAUAGCCAUUUCAGAGGGUAUGAAAUGGUUUUUCACUGUGGUUUCUUGCAUUUUCCUAAUAACUAAUGAUGCUGAGAAUCUUCUCAUGUAGUUGUUGGUAACUGCAUUUUGCAUAUCUUUGGAGAAAUGUUGGUUCUAGUCCUUCACCCAUUUUUAAAUUUAUUUUUAUCUUUCUGUUGCUAAGUCGUAAGAGUUCUUUCUAUGUUCUGGAUAAAGAGUCUUAUCAGAUAUACUAUUUGCAAAUCUUUUCCUUCAUUCUGUAGAUUUUUGUUUCUACUUUUGAUAGUGUCCUUUGAUGCACAAAUGUUUUUCAUUUUCAAGUCCAAUUUAUUUUUUUCUUUUGUUGCUUAUGCUUUUGAUAUCAUAUCUAAAAAUAAUUGCCAAAUUUAAAGUCAUAAAAAUCUCUCCCUAUGUUUUCUUCUAAGAGUUUUGUAGUUCUUCUCUUACAUUUAGCUCUUUGGUUUAUUAUCAGUUAAUAUUUCUAUAUGCUGUAUGUUAAGAGUCCACCUUUACUAUUUUGCAGUUGUCCCAGCACCAUUUGUUGAAGAGACUAUCCUUUGCCCAUUGAAUGGUCUUGACACCCUUCUUGAAAGUUAAUUGGCCGUGGAUAUAUGAGUUUAUUUCUGGAGUCUCAAUUCUAUCCUAAGAAUAUGUCUGUUCUUGGGGCAAAAUCACACAGAUUUUAUUGCUGUUACUUGGUUAUAAGUUUUGAAUUCAUGAAGUGUGAUUCACCAAACUUUGUUCUUCUUCCAGAUUGUUUUGGCUAUUUAGAUCCCUAACAAUUUCAUAGAAAUUUUAGGAUUAGGUUUUCCAUUCUUGCAAAAAACAAUUAUGUGCAUUUUAACUUAAUCUGUUCAAUAACUCUAUAAGGUAGAGACUAAUCCAUGUAUAAUGAUGGAACAAAAAUAUAGAGAUUAAGUAAAUUUUGCAAGGUCUCAGGUAGUUGCUAGAGGAAUUUGUUUGAGCCUAGGCAGUUCCACUGCAGAAUCUGUGCACUUGGAGAAUAUGUUAUGUUGCCUGUACCAUACGUAGUGAUGUUCCAGGAUUGGCUCCGUUACUCUUACAACAUUGUCACUCAGUGUUCUGCUUGUGCUUUCACCAAGCUGAAGACUUUAAUGAAGGUUGACGGUCUGUCUUCCUCACAUGGUGCAGCUAAGGAACUCUAACUGUGUGGCUGUUAUGUUAGCCUUUUGCUCCUUUUUAUAUGGGCUAUAGAAAACGUUUUUAAAUUCUGGAGGCCUCCUUUUGAUGUUAUCACUUAUUUCCCAGUCAUCAUUAUAUUUUUAAAAACCAAAAUAGAAGGAAAUAAAUACAAAACAUAAAACAUGAAUAGUACAGCUAUUUGAGGCAACUGAGAAUAGAGAUCAUGGCACUGAAAUUGCAUUUUGCUAGGAAAAAGACCACAAAAGUUCUCCCCUUGCUACCUUUCCUGAACUAUUCUGCUAGA